AUUGAACGCUGGCGGCGUGCUUAACACAUGCGAGUCGAUCGGUAACGCGGGGGCAACCCUGGCGACGAGAGGCGGACGGGUGAGGAACGCUUGGGAAUCUGCCUAUCAGCGGGGGACAACACGGGGAAACUCGUGCUAAUACCGCAUACGCUCUACGGAGGAAAGCCGGGGACCGCAAGGCCUGGCACUGAUAGAUGAGCCCAAGCCGGAUUAGCUAGUUGGCGGGGUAACGGCCCACCAAGGCGACGAUCCGUAGCUGGUCUGAGAGGACGAUCAGCCACACUGGGACUGAGACACGGCCCAGACUCCUACGGGAGGCAGCAGUGGGGAAUAUUGGACAAUGGGGAAACCCUGAUCCAGCGACGCCGCGUGGGUGAAGAAGGCCUGCGGGUUGUAAAGCCCUUUCGGUAGGGACGAAAGCUCUCGACUUAACACGUCGGGAGGUUGACUUAACCUACAAAAGAAGCACCGGCUAACUCUGUGCCAGCCGCCGCGGUAACAC
rnacentral:rRNA from 1 species